rfam:Brachypodium distachyon strain Bd21 chromosome 1, whole genome shotgun sequence.
UUGUUCUGAUGAUGAGUUGCGGAGUAAUUGCCUGCAUUGUUUGACAAAUAUCUUCGUGAUAUUAACUGCGACAUCUGAGGCUUAA